rnacentral:ncRNA from 1 species
AAGGAACGUCCUGCUGAGCUUGUCGAAGCAUCUCUACUGCUUCAUCUGAUUAGUAACUCAACGAAGCGGUAGUGAUGCUUCGACAAGCUCAGCAGGACGUUCCUUUUGGCCGAUAGUUAUUAAAAAAAGCGCCCUGGCCAUACUGGCCGGGGCGCUUUU